AUACGGAGGGUGCAAGCGUUAUCCGGAAUCAUUGGGUUUAAAGGGUUCGUAGGCGGAUUGGUAAGUCAGUGGUGAAAGUCUGCAGCUUAACUGUAGAAUUGCCAUUGAUACUGCUAGUCUUGAAUUACUGUGAAGUGAUUAGAAUGUGUAGUGUAGCGGUGAAAUGCAUAGAUAUUACACAGAAUACCAAUUGCGAAGGCAGAUCACUAACAGUAUAUUGACGCUGAGGGACGAAAGCGUGGGGAGCGAACAGGAUUAGAAACCCUAGUAGUCC
rnacentral:rRNA from 1 species